rnacentral:rRNA from 2 species
UGAAAAGUAUGGGUAGCAAAACAGGAUUAGAUACCCUGGUAGUCCAUCCGUAAACGAUGAAAUGUAAGUGUUGGAGGGUUUCCGCCCUUCAGUGCUGCAAGCUAACGCAUUAAGCAUUCCGCCUGGGGAGUACGGCCGCAAGGCGAAACUUCAAAGGAAUUGACGGGGGCCCGCACAAGCGGUGGAGCAUGUGGUUUAAUUUGAAGCUACGCGAAGAACCUUACCAGGUCUUGACAUACUAUGCAAAUCUAAGAGAUUAGACGUUCCCUUCGGGGACAUGGAUACAGGUGGUGCAUGGUUGUCGUCAGCUCGUGUCGUGAGAUGUUGGGUUAAGUCCCGCAACGAGCGCAACCCUUAUUAUCAGUUGCCAGCAUUAAGUUGGGCACUCUGGUGAGACUGCCGGUGACAAACCGGAGGAAGGUGGGGAUGACGUCAAAUCAUCAUGCCCCUUAUGACCUGGGCUACACACGUGCUACAAUGGAUGGUACAACGAGUUGCGAACUCGCGAGAGUAAGCUAAUCUCUUAAAGCCAUUCUCAGUUCGGAUUGUAGGCUGCAACUCGCCUACAUGAAGUCGGAAUCGCUAGUAAUCGCGGAUCAGCAUGCCGCGGUGAAUACGUUCCCGGGCCUUGUACACACCGCCCGUCACACCAUGAGAGUUCGUAACACCCAAAGCCCGUGAGAGUUGAUCCUGGGCUCCACGAUCAUUCCUUAG